rnacentral:rRNA from 1 species
UACGUAGGGGGCAAGCGUUGUCCGGAAUUAUUGGGCGUAAAGCGCGCGCAGGCGGUUCAUUAAGUUUGGUGUUUAAGACCAGGGCUCAACCCUGGUUCGCAUUGAAAACUGGUGGACUUGAGUGCAGAAGAGGAAAGUGGAAUUCCACGUGUAGCGGUGAAAUGCGUAGAGAUGUGGAGGAACACCAGUGGCGAAGGCGACUUUCUGGGCUGUAACUGACGCUGAGGCGCGAAAGCGUGGGGAGCAAACAGG